ACCGGCAAACGGGUGCGGAACACGUACAGAACCUUCCUUCGAGCGGGGAAUAGCCCAGAGAAAUUUGGAUUAAUGCCCCAUAGCAUAACGGAGUGGCAUCACUUUGUUAUUAAAGAUUUAUCACUUGAAGAUGGCUGUGCGGCUGAUUAGAUAGUUGGCGGGGUAACGGCCCACCAAGUCUGCGAUCAGUAACUGGUGUGAGAGCACGACCAGUCACACGGGCACUGAGACACGGGCCCGACUCCUACGGGAGGCAGCAGUAAGGAAUAUUGGUCAAUGGACGAAAGUCUGAACCAGCCAUGCCGCGUGGAGGAUGAAGGCCCUCUGGGUUGUAAACUUCUUUUAUAUGGGACGAAAAAGGGCCUUUCUAGGUCAACUGACGGUACCAUGUGAAUAAGCACCGGCUAACUCCGUGCCAGCAGCCGCGGUAAUACGGAGGGUGCAAGCGUUAUCCGGAUUCACUGGGUUUAAAGGGAGCGUAGGCGGGUUGGUAAGUCAGUGGUGAAAUCCCCGAGCUUAACUCGGGAACUGCCAUUGAUACUAUCAGUCUUGAAUACCGUGGAGGUCAGCGGAAUAUGUCAUGUAGCGGUGAAAUGCUUAGAUAUGACAUAGAACACCAAUUGCGAAGGCAGCUGGCUACACGAAUAUUGACACUGAGGCUCGAAAGCGUGGGGAUCAAACAGGAUUAGAUACCCUGUAGUCCACGCCCU
rnacentral:rRNA from 1 species